rnacentral:misc_RNA from 1 species
UGAAUUGCUUACAAUGUGGUUUGGAGAAAGUGAGGCCAAUGUUCGUGAAAUUUUUGACAAGGCACGCCAGUCUGCACCUUGUGUUCUGUUCUUUGAUGAGCUUGACUCUAUCGCCACUCAGAGAGGCAGCAGCGUGGGAGAUGCUGGAGGUGCUGCUGAUCGAGUUUUGAACCAACUUCUGACGGAAAUGGACGGAAUGUCAGCAAAGAAAACUGUCUUCAUAAUUGGGGCGACCAACAGACCAGAUAUUAUAGAUCAAGACGUCCUGGACGAAGAAGUGCUG